UUGCCUCUUGGACUGGGACAACUGUUGGAAACGACAGCUAAUACCAGAUAUUAUGAGAUUCUCGCAUGAGAAAUUUAUGAAAGCUAUAUGCGCCAAGAGAGAGCCUUGCGUUCCAUUAGCUAGUUGGUGGGGUAACGGCCCACCAAGGCGACGAUGGAUAGCCGGCCUGAGAGGGUGAACGGCCACAAGGGGACUGAGACACGGCCCUUACUCCUACGGGAGGCAGCAGUGGGGAAUAUUGGACAAUGGGCCACAAGCCUGAUCCAGCAAUUCUGUGUGCACGAUGAAGGUCUUCGGAUUGUAAAGUGCUUUCAGUUGGGAAGAAGAAAGUGACGGUACCAACAGAAGAAGCGACGGCUAAAUACGUGCCAGCAGCCGCGGUAAUACGUAUGUCGCAAGCGUUAUCCGGAUUUAUUGGGCGUAAAGCGCGUCUAGGCGGAAAAAUAAGUCUGAUGUUAAAAUGCGGGGCUCAACUCCGUAUUGCGUUGGAAACUGUUUUUCUAGAGUACUGGAGAGGUGGGCGGAACUACAAGUGUAGAGGUGAAAUUCGUAGAUAUUUGUAGGAAUGCCGAUGGAGAAGUCAGCUCACUGGACAGAUACUGACGCUGAAGCGCGAAAGCGUGGGGAGCAAAC
rnacentral:rRNA from 1 species